rnacentral:lncRNA from 1 species
GAGAUAGAAGAUAGAAGAUAAUCGACAGGUGCCCCAAUUAGAAGAUUGAAGAAAGAUACAAAAUAGAAGAUACAAGAAAGAUAUGUAUGACCUCUUUAUUCACGGCGUCACAAGCGUACACAUGACAGUACAGUAGAUGACACGACACACAUGCAUACACACCUCGGUGCAGAGGUGGACAGUAAUUAAGUAAUUGAUGAUGACCGGCGACGCGGCCGGCCGGGGAGGUUGAUCCACUUACAUCCCGAUGCACUUCUCUUUGAUGAUGUACUUGACGAAGCAGGCAGCGAACUUCGCCGGGCGGAAGUCGAAGCAUGCACUGAAGGUGUCCACAAGGCAUGCCUGGCAUAUCUCCAUCAGGCGGAGGUCCUCUCGGAGCUCCAUGGUGGCACCGGCGUGGCCGGCAGCGCCAGCUGCCCGAAGCAAAUGAUGCUUAGCACCAAGACGAGGGUGACAGUGGAGGCCAUUGUUGAUAGGAAGGGUGGAAGAACGAUAAGCAAAUCUGAUCUAAUAAUGUGUUGUGUUGUUUUCUGUUUGCAUAUGAAUGGAGUUGGACACAAGCGUGUGUGCACUAUUUAUAGCUGGCCAGCCUCUGUUGGGUCCAGAACAACCAUGUGUAUUCUAACGACGUGAAUGGGUACAGAGCAACCAUGUGUAUUCUACUGACGUGAAUGGAUACU